rnacentral:rRNA from 1 species
GACGAACGCUGGCGGCGUGCUUAACACAUGCAAGUCGAACGGAAAGGCUCUGCUUUUGUGGGGUGCUCGAGUGGCGAACGGGUGAGUAAAACGUGAGUAACCUGCCCUUGACUCUGGGAUAACUUCAGGAAACUGGGGCUAAUACCGGAUAGGAGCUCCUGCAGCAUGGUGUGGGUUGGAAAGUUUCGGCGGUUGGGGAUGGACGCGCGGCUUAUCAGCUUGUUGGUGGGGUAGUGGCUUACCAAGGCGUUGACGGGUAGCCGGCCUGAGAGGGUGACCGGCCACAUUGGGACUGAGAUACGGCCCAGACUCCUACGGGAGGCAGCAGUGGGGAAUAUUGCACAAUGGGCGGAAGCCUGAUGCAGCAACGCCGCGUGCGGGAUGACGGCCUUCGGGUUGUAAACCGCUUUCGCCUGUGACGAAGCGUGAGUGACGGUAAUGGGUAAAGAAGCACCGGCUAACUACGUG